CUUAGUGGUGGGGUGACUGCGUACCUUUUGUAUAAUGGGUCAGCGACUUAUAUUCUGUAGCAAGGUUAACCGCAUAGGGGAGCCGGAGGGAAACCGAGUCUUAAUUGGGCGUUAAGUUGCAGGGUAUAGACCCGAAACCCGGUGAUCUAGCCAUGGGCAGGUUGAAGGUUGGGUAACACUAACUGGAGGACCGAACCGACUAAUGUUGAAAAAUUAGCGGAUGACCUGUGGCUGGGGGUGAAAGGCCAAUCAAACCGGGAGAUAGCUGGUUCUCCCCGAAAGCUAUUUAGGUAGCGCCUCGUGAAUUCAUCUCCGGGGGUAGAGCACUGUUUCGGCCAGGGGGCCAUCCCGGCUUACCAAUCCGAUGCAAACUGCGAAUACCGGAGAAUGUUAUCACGGGAGACACACGGCGGGUGCUAACGUCCGUCGUGAAGAGGGAAACAACCCAGACCGCCAGCUAAGGUCCCAAAGUCAUGGUUAAGUGGGAAACGAUGUGGGAAGGCCCAGACAGCCAGGAUGUUGGCUUAGAAGCAGCCAUCAUUUAAAGAAAGCGUAAUAGCUCACUGGUCGAGUCGGCCUGCGCGGAAGAUGUAACGGGGCUAAACCAUGCACCGAAGCUGCGGCAGCGACACUGAUGUGUUGUUGGGUAGGGGAGCGUUCUGUAAGCCGUUGAAGGUGUGUCGUGAGGCAUGCUGGAGGUAUCAGAAGUGCGAAUGCUGACAUAAGUAACGAUAAAGCGGGUGAAAAGCCCGCUCGCCGGAAGACCAAGGGUUCCUGUCCAACGUUAAUCGGGGCAGGGUGAGUCGACCCCUAAGGCGAGGCCGAAAGGCGUAGUCGAUGGGAAACGGGUUAAUAUUCCCGUACUUGGUGUUACUGCGAAGGGGGGACGGAGAAGGCUAUGUUGGCCGGGCGACGGUUGUCCCGGUUUAAGCGUGCAGGUGUGUGUUCCAGGUAAAUCCGGUUCACUUUAACACUGAGGCGUGAUGACGAGGCACCACGGUGCUGAAGCAACAAAUGCCCUGCUUCCAGGAAAAGCCUCUAAGCCUCAGGUAACAUCAAAUCGUACCCCAAACCGACACAGGUGGUCAGGUAGAGAAUACCAAGGCGCUUGAGAGAACUCGGGUGAAGGAACUAGGCAAAAUGGUGCCGUAACUUCGGGAGAAGGCACGCUGACACGUAGGUGAAGUGGUUUACCCAUGGAGCUGAAGUCAGUCGAAGAUACCAGCUGGCUGCAACUGUUUAUUAAAAACACAGCACUGUGCAAACACGAAAGUGGACGUAUACGGUGUGACGCCUGCCCGGUGCCGGAAGGUUAAUUGAUGGGGUCAGCGCAAGCGAAGCUCCUGAUCGAAGCCCCGGUAAACGGCGGCCGUAACUAUAACGGUCCUAAGGUAGCGAAAUUCCUUGUCGGGUAAGUUCCGACCUGCACGAAUGGCGUAAUGAUGGCCAGGCUGUCUCCACCCGGGACUCAGUGAAAUUGAACUCGCUGUGAAGAUGCAGUGUACCCGCGGCAAGACGGAAAGACCCCGUGAACCUUUACUAUAGCUUGACACUGAACACUGGUCCUUGAUGUGCAGGAUAGGUGGGAGGCUUUGAAGUGUGGACGCCAGUCUGCAUGGAGCCAUCCUUGAAAUACCACCCUUUAAUGGCUGGUGUUCUAACGUGGGCCCCUGACCGGGGUUGCGGACAGUGUCUGGUGGGUAGUUUGACUGGGGCGGUCUCCUCCUAAAGAGUAACGGAGGAGCACGAAGGUUGGCUAAUCCUGGUCGGACAUCAGGAGGUUAGUGCAAUGGCAUAAGCCAGCUUGACUGCGAGCGUGACGGCGCGAGCAGGUGCGAAAGCAGGUCAUAGUGAUCCGGUGGUUCUGAAUGGAAGGGCCAUCGCUCAACGGAUAAAAGGUACUCCGGGGAUAACAGGCUGAUACCGCCCAAGAGUUCAUAUCGACGGCGGUGUUUGGCACCUCGAUGUCGGCUCAUCACAUCCUGGGGCUGAAGUAGGUCCCAAGGGUAUGGCUGUUCGCCAUUUAAAGUGGUACGCGAGCUGGGUUUAGAACGUCGUGAGACAGUUCGGUCCCUAUCUGCCGUGGGCGCUGGAAGAUUGAGGGGGGCUGCUCCUAGUACGAGAGGACCGGAGUGGACGCAUCACUGGUGUUCGGGUUGUCAUGCCAAUGGCACUGCCCGGUAGCUACAUGCGGAAGAGAUAAGUGCUGAAAGCAUCUAAGCACGAAACUUGCCCCGAGAUGAAUCUUCCCUGAGCCUUUAAGGCUCCUGAAGGAACGUUGAAGACGACGACGUUGAUAGGCCGGGUGUGUAAGCGCAGCGAUGCGUUGAGCUAACCGGUACUAAUGAACCGUGAGGCUUAACCUUACAACGCCGAAG
rnacentral:rRNA from 1 species